UGCAGGUGAUACUUGAGGGGCUGCCAUGACAUCAGUGGACAAUGGACACCACGUGGCCAAGAUUCUCUUAGGAGGCCCCAUCCCUGAGUGGGUUCAGCGCCUUCUCACUACUGUCUCCACUGCAGUGGUGAACUUCAGGCUCUCAAAUUUCGCUGGCACCUUGUGUUACGCUAAAAUUUGGUGCUGCCUCCCACACUCCAUUCUACAUUAUUGUUGUGGCACCCCCUGUGGUGCUAGCACCCGGUGUGGCCAAGCCAGUCACACUACACUAAAAUUGCAUCUGCCCAUUGCCUCUUCGCUUGACCUCUUCCUCUUGGCCCAGUCUGUAUAGACAGAGACUGCUCCUUCUCCUUUUCAUUCCUCUCACUGCUCACUAAUUCGGAGAGGCCAGAGGAAGAGGCGACAACAAACAGCAAGAAGGAAGAGCGGCCAGGCCAUGGGGUCCGAGAGGUCAACAGUGGGGGGACCCUGCCAGGAUCGUGGCCUUGGCAGUUACCUGAUGAUGCCAACCUUUGAUGUCUACCCUUUAUGAUGCAAAGAGAGAACAUAGUGAAGGAGGGGAACAACGAGGAAUGAAUACGCUUAACAAGAAAGCUGCACAAGACAUUUCUAAUUCAGAAACUGCAGUUACAUUGAUACAUAAAAGUACACCCAAAGUCGUCCUCCUCUGAUUGAACAGCAAAGUUUUCAUAAAAGAAAUGUGAAAGGGAGGUUAGGGACACGCUGUAUGCACACACACAUACACCCUCACAUAAAUGCAUCUCUUGAAUGCCAGUCUUGCCUGGAACCUUUGACACAGCCAGGAACGAAGAACAUCAUUGCAUGGGGGUGUGGGGGGUGAUGACAUUAUUGAUUAUGGAGGUGCAGAAGAGGAAACUGGACAUUUAUGGUGCUUUGCAAGGCCCCUCUCCCCCCCCUCUCCCCACAUAGCUGAAGAGAAGAAAAUAACCCUAGCAACUAUACAACCAAGGCAAGUACUGCUAAAUGGCUCAUUGGUUACUAUGGCAACCGACUCGCUCCGCUCCAGCUGCUUAUCCCACGGUCCCUCUGUCACCCUAUUUUUAGCUUGAAACGAAAGAAUUGGACUUUUUAAAAAGAUGCACGCAAUCUUACUUUUUAACAGACAAAUUAAGGCUCAAUGGUAAGGCCAUUGCUGGGAUGCUUGAGAUCCAGAACAAAGCACGUAUUUUGGCUUUGCCUCGUGAUGCCUCAGUUGGAACAAGCGAGCCGCUAGUCCUCCAAGUGGUGAGAGUGGAGAGUUUGAGUUGUGCUUUCUGGCCAUUAAAAGAAACAGUUUCUCGGAGAUUUAUGAAAGGUAGAAUUGAGAAAACUUGGUGGCCGUUGUCGUUUCUGUUUUUCAGCUCUCUAACCUGAUGCUUUCACACUUAAAGCAUCAGAACCCACUAAAAGUUAUCUCUGCCUUCAGAAAAAGGACACAGUGCAGUCUGCCUGAUCACUUCAGAAACUUCCCACUUCAGAAUGCAGGUAGGGAAACGCAUGACUGAAUUAUCUAGCACAGGAAUAAAACUCUUUGCAUGCAGAAAGCUAACUCACUAGGGAGGAAGCUAAGCUAGAGCCUUCUCCCUGACCAGCUAACUUUUCAGUAGCAGGGAGUUUUCCACCAUGGGUCUCACACUUAUAUUCUAAAGUGGUACAGUCCUAAGAGGGCUGUUGUACACGAUUCAGUGAAUGGAGACAACAGCUUACCAAGCGAUAAAUUAGUUUCUAUUUGGCACACCAAUCGUCUGUACAAUCCUGCCAAGUUCUGCCAAUUUUAUUAAUCUGCCAAUUUUAUUAAUUUUAUUAAUUAUAUUAAUAAUUAAAAGACAUUAAUAUUUCUGAUCAUUAAUGUCUUUUAUUCUCUUGGAUCCAAAUGAUAACAGUACUCUAAAAAUGAAUUUGCAGAUCAUUGCCAGGAUUACUAACUUCUGAACAAAUUAAGGAACAUGUGUCUUUAAUGACUACAUGGCAAGAUGUUCAGCGUGUGCAGUUUUGUUCCAUCCUACUGCUUCACUGAUAGAAAUGACACGUGGCAAACUUCUCCUUUUGAUAUCCCUCUCAAAAAUACAGUCACGCUUUUCAGGUUCCAUCUUAAUAUCAGCUCUGUUUGUGGAACUGAUUCCACACAAUCUAUUUCUUCUUGGAGGUUUUCUCAGAGUUGUGCUGUUUUGGUUUGGGGGUGGAGGUCAUGUGGAAUGUGUGGUUUUCCCUUGGGAAUCUUGUGCUUGCUCACUGCUGGCCUUUUCAGGACCCACCCUGUUCCUUUGCCUGCAAUCUGCUUUAACUGUUUUUAAUUCUGAAUUUUAAAUGGUUAUAACUCAACCUGGGACCUGCUGGUGAAGGGCAGGUGAUAGGUUUAUCACAGCAACAGAUGUUCAUACGUAAGGCUUAGGUGAGCUUUUGGACUUCUUUUUCACUAUUUGUGUCAUGUUGAUGUUAAUAUAGGAAAAAAGAAAAACUGAAUCUAUAUAAAAACCACAAAGUCUUGCGACACCUUAAAAACUAACAUAUUAUGGCAUAAGCUUUCAAAGACUACGUUGGCUACAGGAAAGUUUUAAACUAAGGUAUCAAAAGACUCUUGGUUCUUUUUGCUGCAAGAGAUUAACACAACUACUAACCCUCUGGAAACAUAAUUUACAUUUGCAGCCAAGAUGUGUUUUACAUUUGUGUUACAGACUGAUUCAGCCUCACAUAUGAAAAUGCUCUAUGAUUAGCAUGACCUUUUUUCACAGGUAGUUGACGAGCUGCAGAGUGGAUACAAGGCCCUGAUUCACCUUGGUAAUUCUGCUUUGGUUUGAGCCUUAAUUUUUAUGUCAGCGUUGGGGAUUAUAGUAGCAUAAUUAAGGGCCAAUUCACACAACCAAUGUGGCAUGGUGAGCAUAUGGGCCAAAUUGAUUCAGGAUAUUUCUUUAAUAUAAUUUAUGCUUUUUAUGUGUUCAACUUUUAAUUUUUUCUUCAUCAAAUAGAGAUAUUGAACACAGUCGUACCUUGGAAGUCGAAUGGAAUCCGUUCCGGAAGUCCAUUCGAAUUGCAAAAUGUUCGGAAACCAAAGCGGGGCUUCUGAUUGGCUGCAGGAAACUCCUGCAGCCAAUCGGAAGCCGCAGAAGCCCCCAUUGGGUGUUUGGCUUCCAAAAAUAGUUCACAAACCGGAACAGUCACUUCUGGGUUUGCGGCAUUCGGGAGCCAAAACAUUCGAAAACUAAGCUGUUCGAAAACCAAGGUACAACUGUAAUGGUGAACUGUCACAUUAUUGUUUCAUGGUACUCACUUCACUGCCCUUGGGGAUGCCAGAUUCCAGUUUCCCAAAUCUAAGUGGCUUAAUUUGCAUAUUGCACAUAUUAUUUGCUAAUUAUAUCAAUUCUGUGGUGUGUUGGGAAAGGGUUGAGCAACCCCUCUCCUGCUGAAUUCUCCCUCAAAAUGAUUUCUUACAAAGUUCCUUGACAAGAAUGAAGCAGAUCAUUGGGUCUCCAUGGAUAUUUUCACAUCCAACAUAUAGUUGAGUCGUCACCCUUUUUUUUUUUAGGGACAAUUUUAUAUUGUCCUAAGGCAAUAUAAGGCCUAAUCCUGUCCUGAGAGUAAUCCCCACUGAAUAUAGUAAACCAGGCAUGGCCAAACUUGGCCCUCCAGAUGUUUUCAGACUACAAUUCCCAUCAUCCCUGACCACUGGUCCUGUUAGCUAGGGAUGAUGGGAGCUGUAGUCCCAAAACAUCUGGAGGGGCAAGUUUGGCCAUGCCUGUAGUAAACCUUACUUUUAGUAGGAUUGUGCUGUUAGUCUAUUUAAAAUAAUUAAUCAUCACCUGUGAAAGCUAUGGUAUCCUUCAGAAUCUGCCCUUCCUUUUCUUAGGCGUGGAAAUUCAUUGCUGAAUGCCUCUCUGUAGUUUAGUGGUCUUUUCUUUUGCUUCAGAAAAAUAUAUUGGUCACUCUUAACACCUUUAAAUGACAUUUUUAACUCUGAUACCACCAUUUAAAAUCAUUGAGUUCAGUCUUUGUCCAGAGCUGAUAUAGUCAGCCUCAUGAGGAAUCUGUGCCUAUAGUUCCAAAAAAUGCAAAUAUAAUAUUUCAAAUUUGGAUUUUUGUGAUAGGAGUAGCGUUGUCUCUCUCAUGACCAAUUAUGAAUAGUUUUCAUUCACCUGUUCCUUUUACUCUUAACCAAAGAAGCUCACAGUUCAAGAAUGGAAAGCCUGAAUUAUUAAACAGUUACACAGAUCAAUAACCUUUUUCAUGCCAACAACUGAAAACAACAUGAAACAAAGUAAGUUCUUCAGGUCUGGCACAAAGAUGUUCUUACUAUUGGUGAAGAUAGGCGAUACAUUUAUAGGGCCAGUAAUGUUGCACAUAGGACACACUUAAACAGUUGUCAGCAUAAAAGUAUCUGCUAUACACACCAGUCUUUACUCUAGCACUUUGGUCUUGCAUAUUUGCAUGCAUUUGUAUAAUGUCGGAAUGCAUUUCAAUGUACCUGAAGGAUCCUAGUUUGUACUCCCCAAGUUCUGGUGCUGGCCUUUCUUAUGUAUAUUCUGUUUGUGUUUCAUAAGGGAAGUCCCCUACUCUCAGCAGACAAGUGACUACAGUGGUACCUCGGGUUCCAUACGCUUCAGGUUACAUAUGCUUCAGGUUACAUACACUUCAGGAUACACACUCCACUAACCCAGAAAUAGUGCUUCAGGUUAAGAACUUUGCUUCAGGAUAAGAACAGAAAUCGGGCUCCGGCGGCGCAGUGGCAGCAGGAGGCCCCAUUAGCUAAAGUGGUGCUUCAGGUUAAGAACAGUUUCAGGUUAAGAACAGACCUCCGGAACGAAUUAAGUACUUAACCCGAGGUUCCACUGUACUUCCUUUUCUGACGGGGUUCAUAGCAUGACCCAACCAUGUUCUGCCAUUAAUUCCAACUGAACAGAUUAGAUAUUCUACAGAUGACGGCAACAAGCACCAGAAUUAGCGACAGACCAAAUACUGCCUUUCCCUUCCAUCCUCCUGGUUAGACUCAUAACUUGGCUUGGAAUGAACUAAGUUGGCACCUGAGUUUCUAGGAGAGAUAUUGGCUCAGGAUUAGGUUUCAAAAAUUGAAUUUACCCGCCACCCCAAAUUAUGGAAAUGUUUCAUUUUAUUCCAAACCUUGUUAUAACCCACAUUGGACUCCAUCAUGUACCUAGUGAUGUCAUCUGAAGUAUGACAAGGCCAACCCCUCUCCUAGUAACAUUGGUGAGCCUCUGAGCCCCUCCUCGUCCCAACCACCACAAGCCUUUGUCCCACCUCUAUCUCACCCACAACCCUCCAAGCACCCUCUUCUGUUCCAUCUCACCUGAUUUCUAGCUCUGGUGGCAACUAGAAAAAGAAGCGUGGAGUGCCUCAUUUGAGAGCCAGUGUGGUGUAGUGGUUAAAAGCGGUAGACUCGUAAUCAGGUUCGCGUCUCCGCUCCUCCACCUGCAGCUGCUGGGUGACCUUGGGCCAGUCACACUUCUCUGAAGUCUCUCAGCCCCACUCACCUCACAGAGUGUUUGUUGUGGGGGAGGAAGGUAAAGGAGAUUGUUAGCCACUUUGAGACUCCUUAGGGUAGUGAUAAAGCGGGAUAUCAAAUCCAAACUCUUCUUCUUCUUCUUCUUCAUUUGGCCCUAGGCCUGAGAUUCCCCACCUCUGGCUUAGCAUUAAAGGCAAGCCAGCUCAAUAUUAAGGUCUUUAAGGUCUUUUAUUUCCACCAGUACAUUGUUAUAGGUUUGGGGGACACCUCCCCAAACCAUAGAAAUUAAUCAAUUUUGAUUGUUUGGGAUAGGAAGGGAGAAAUACAAGCUGCAGAACUGUGCCAGACAAGCAAUCUCUGUGCUGGCUUUUGCAAACCAGCUUGGCUGGGCUGAUGAAGAGCAAAUCCAUUAACAUGACAAAAGGUGUUGAUGACCCAUCUAAGAGGAAUCCUUGGGCCUGGACAGACAGAGGUUGCCAAGGUGAUGGGGUGUGAGAGAGGGGGGAAAGGAAAAGAGUGUCUUUAGCAAGCAGUGCUGGGAACAGGAAAGGAGAGAGAUCCAUCUUGGGCAAGCUGGCUGAAGGCAGGCUGGAAGAGGUGCCUUCAACUCUACUACCACACUGCUGUGGGGAAAAAGCCCCUCUUGAGAUGACCAUGCUAUAAGACCAAAUGCCCUCCAUCCAAACUCAGGUGUAAAUAUGUGAAUAAACCAUAUUUCUUAUGGUUUCUUCUUUCUUAUUUCGCCACAUUUUCAAUUCUCCAAAGGAGCAGAGACCCUGGUUGGGGGCCAAUACCCCUGGAAUCCUUGGCAGGGAUUGGGAUGGCCUGAAAUGAUACUUUCACAUGUUUAAUUCUCUGCCUUGCCAAGUUCUGAUAAUUCUAAUCAAACAAAUUGUAUUAUGGCAUUAACUUUCAUGGACUAGAGUUCACUUCAUCAGCCACAAAAAGUAACACAUAACACAUAAAAAAAAGCACCUCUUGGGUUUUGUCUUGAUUGCAUCUUCCAUCAUGCAAACAUACAACUGUUUCCUUUGGUAUUUUUUCUUAUGCAGUUGGAAAUGACUCACUGUACUUUUCUAGAGAAGCUAUCAUGCACACAGUAUUUUUAAAGUCUCCAUGGUGUUCUGCCUAAAUGCAAUGUGAUUAUUUCUACUGCUACCAGUUUUUUGCUGGUUUGAACAUGCUAGCAUCCUUUCAAACAGAAGCAAAUUGAUAUCUCUGACACACCCAAUGCUCUCCAUGUUAAUUGCUGUCUAAGUAAUGGUCAAGGCCCUUUGCAUCAAUCGAGACAGGAAUUCCCUAGUCUUCUAGUUUGGUUGCCAACUUGGUUUAAAAUGUUCAGCAGUGUGCCUCACAUUGCAGAGGCAAUGACUCUCUGUUGUGGAUAUUUUCCUAUUAAAGGAAUAAUGUCUUCUGAGUGAUCUAUCAGAUACCAUUUGCUAUGGAGUUAUUUCCCAGUCAGCAAGAGAGGGCACCAUGGAUGUUGACUAAGGAAAAGCAAAGAAGAACUUACUAAAAUCAGUCAGUAGGUGCUUCCAACAGGAAAACAGUUUGGAGAAUAAGUCUCAAUCUCCUCUACAAAUGGUCAAAGGAGGGCUCUGUUGGUACUUUCAGGCACCUAGCAGGAGAGCCUCUCAGAACUCUCAUGAACUGGGACUUUGGUGAUUUGGGGAAUCAGUGAUUCUCCACUUCCUGUUAUAUUUCUCACACAGCAUAUUUUGAUAUAUCUCUCUAAGCAACAUCUGUGAGUGAAGUUACUAGGCUAUUCUGCAUUAUUUUUGCUUGACUACUUCCCUGCUACCUCAUAUUACAGACUGCCUCUGGUUUGAGCCUCUGACCUGCCCUAAAGAUCUUGCAGUAGCUUGUCUCUUUUGUCAGGUAUCUAGAUGAAGACAAGAGGACAGGCAACAGUGUUCUGUCCAAGUUUCCAGCAAUGGUUGUGUAUACAGUUACGCUGGGAUUUGACUGCAUAUAUCCCUACUCUACAUUUUUUCCCAUGGUGAGAUCACACUUAGGACAAUGUAUGAAGUGGUACAGGGGUAGGAAACCUUUUCUGGCCAGUGGACUGGAUCCUCAGCUUCCCCAUGGGCCAUUCUGAAAGACGGGGCCACCCAUCUAUCAACCACCUGACAUCAUUAUGGCAACUUCAAAGGGGCUCACUGCAAAGGGGCUCACCUGCUUUGUCCUAUUGCAAGCAUGGUUUGAAUUCAAACCACACUUGCAAGUGGGCAAUUUCCCAGAUAGGGGACUCCCUGGCACAGCUGAACUAGGAGCUCUCUGUCAGCACUGAUCAGUGACUGGCCCUGUCUGUGAGCCCCACUUGUAAAGGAACAAUUGAGAGCUCCCUUUAUACUCCUCAUUGCACCUUUGUAGCCAUGUCCUUACCGACCUCACAUAUGUCAAGUGUCAGAGCAUGGACUGGGUGGGUGUGGCUUGCAAGACAAAUUACAACCACAUUAGGCCUAAUUUGGCCUGUGAGCCAGAGGUUUUCCAUGCCUGAAGUUGCAACUGAAAUGUUGAUUAACCAUGGGCUUUUAGUACACACUGCCAAACCUAUUAAUGCUGUCUCCUUAAUGACAAGAUAGCAAAUGAUAAGAUAGUAAAAAUAUUUCUGGCUGCUAUACCUAAAUCUUUGAAUCCUAUACUGCUUUUAACAUCUAUUGCCCUUCUUUCUAUUGCACAACAGUAAGGAUGACAGAUUAACUUUUUAAAAAUCAAAACUUUUUUUAAAAAAAGUUAACAGCAGUAAAAAAAGAAGGGGGGGCCAAAAAAGCAACACUACACACAUUAAAACAGUUUAUAAAUAGAAAAUAAUUAUUACACCAUGAAUAAACAACACUGUGGUUAGAUUUGUAAAUUGUGCGUACUCAUUCAAUACUUAAUAAAGGGGGGGAAUUAUUUCCAUCCAAAAUCUAUACAGUGUUUUAUUUCUUGUCAAUGUAAAAUUGGUUAAUUUGGCCGUAAUUAUUAUCUCACAAACCUUAUGCUGCCAUGCCUAUUGUCUGGGGCUUGGAUCCCCCCCCCCCCAAAAAAAUCAAAUUUUUAUUUAACAAAAAGAAUUAUAUUAAUUUAAUUUUAAUUCCUAAUACAUUUCCUUUAUUAAAAAAAAUAGAACUGGUGACUUUCAGAAGUCGGAUGUGCAUUCUCGUCAGGUUUUCCUUGUGCUACUUAAAUGAGUAUGAGCUAUUUCACUUUGAUAUAUUGCCCUUUUAUUGGGUAUUUUAUUUUGCUGAGUUUAUUUUUUUUUUCUAUUUCCCAUGCUACUUAACCACUGGGAGGUGUCAUCCAGAGAUUUAGUGUGUGAUGAUUGUCACCCAUAUGUAGAUAACACUCAGCUCUAACUUGCCAUUCCAUCUGAAUCAGGAGAAUCUAUACAAGUGCUGGACCAGUGUCUGGAGGCAGUGAUGGGUUGGAUGAGGGCCAAUAAACUGUUGAAUCCUGAUGAGGCAGAGGCACUCCGACAGAGUAGUUCCCAGGUCCAAGAAUUAGGUAAGUGGCCUUUACUGGAUGGGGUAGCAACCCUCUUGAACUCCCACGUGGUGGAGAUUCUGCUGCGCCUCCCCCCACAUUACCAUAUUAAUUCCCUCAUGCCUUUGGCACAUAGCUGUCAGGAAGUUUGAUAUCACUCUUUGCUCUACUGAUUUUUGUUGCUGGUUCUGGUUUCAAUCAUUGUUCGCAUUGAUUUUAUCAGUAGUUAUACGUAGGUAGGCACCCUGUGCUCCUGAUGGCAUGGGUUAGAAAUCCAAAUAUCCUAAACUAAUGCAUAGCAUUUUCUGCAGCUUUAUUGCUAGCUAACCUUUGCCCACAUUGAUUCACUCACAGGAGUCGUGGCAAUUUGUGGUCCACUUUUCUCUCUCAUCUUCUUUAUGAACAAAUUUGAAGCAGGGCCACCCUUGCUAUUAGGAGCGGUGAAGUCCACCACCUAAGGCAACAGAAAGAAGCAAAUGGACAGUUGUCAGAUUUUAACCACAGGCAUGGGGGAAGCCCUUUCGCUUUCCUGCCACCUUCAGCAACAGUGUGUCUUGGGCCAGCUCUGUGUUGGAAGUGGAAACUUCCAAAGCACUAAUAAGACAUCAUUAUCAUUUUAGUUGUGUUGUUACUUUCCCUGGAACAGAACAAGUCACCUGAGAGACCCUCCACUCGGUUCUCUAACAUCUUUUGAGAGAGAUUUUCUAAACCCCUGGAACUAAAGCCCAACAUUAUCAUUGUUAUUCUUCCGUGAAAUGGAGUUUUAGCAGAUAACUAAUAAAGCCAAAAUAGAGCUUCCGCUCAUUGAACCAGUCUUAAAUUACCAAAGCUACCAAAGAAAGAACAGUUGUCAUGCAUGAAAAAUGCAUAUGGAUUAUUUUUCAGUGCACCCUGUAUCAAAGAAGACCAUUUUUCUAGCGUUAUGAGUGCCCAUCAACCACUCCCACCCCAACCCCCAGUAAGCAUAUGGUCUGCUUUCCAAUUUCAAAAUAUGUUCUUUCAAGAUCGGUCGAAACUGUGGCCCAACAGCUCCACUUAGUGGCUACUAGCAUUCAUGACACCAAACAUUCAAAAGCAAAAUAUCUGGAAAAAAUAUUGGGUGCCCUUAAAUUUGUAUAGACUUGCAUGCAAAACUUUAAAAAUAUUUUUCUUUUCUACAGAAUUGCUGUGUGUGUGUGUGUGUGUGUGUGUGUGUGUGUGUGUGUGUUCAACCUGCCAGUAAUGAUGAUAACCAGAUGAGGUAGUACUUUCUCCGGGAGAAGACAGAAGAGAGUUCAUUGAUGGCUUCAUUUGGAACAUCAGAAGUUUGCCCAAAAAAUGUUUGGGGAAGAAAUUACCCAUUCAUUUUGGGGUGGAAACUGAGCGUGGGGGGGAACCCCACAUCUGUUAUGAGCACUUGGCUUCAGAAGCAAUGAACUCUGGGAUUGGUUGCCCCUGUCAUUGCCAUGGGAACCAGAGAAUGAUAGUUGGGCCUUCAGGGCCUUCGAUACAGGAAAAAGAGAGUAGUUGGGAAGAUAGGCCGGUUUAGAUUGACUGUAAGGAUGUGUGCUAAAUCAUCUCAAUAACUGAGCAUAAAGGAAGGGGAACAUAGGAGAAAUAGGAAUGAAAAUUUGAGAAGAGGGAAGAGAAACAUUCUCUUGGUAUACUGUGCUAUAUGUAUAUGUGAUUCUCUUCAGUGAAAUUUUGCAUAUUCCUGCUUUACCUACACGUUCACCAGAAUUCUGUGGUAUGCCACAUAAAUGCACAAACCGUACAUUUCUGCACCAUAUCUGAAUACUAAGCCAUGAUCGUGGCUUAUGUGAUAGAGGCAAAUCGGUGAAUACAGACUGAUUCGCACAAGAAUUGUUUACAUAACUGAUAUGACAUAAGAUAACUCAUUGGUUUCACUGCUUUGAGGUGAUUUUCUGGUGAUGUAUAUAUGCUCUUAUGUCGUGCUUCAAGCAAAUCUGGAGAAUUUUGUAAUAACACGCAAUAGUAAAAUGUGAACCAGAGACACCAGAUACAUUCUCUAGGAUAAAGGAGCCACUUGGGCUUUAUUAGCUUUCUUCUAAAACUCCAUUUCAUGGGUGAAUAACAAUGAAAAUGGUGGGGUAUUCAGUGGUAAUUGAUGGUGGAUAUAUGAUGCUAUCAUCUUAUCACUGGUGGCAUGUGGACACUUUUAAUUAUGGAAAUGUUUUCUCAUGCCCCAGCACUCAGCUUUAACUACAUUUUCUAGCUAUUGUAGCUACAGGCAUUUCUGACAGGAAUCACAGUGCUAUCAACCAACCGUCUUUGACUGUUAGCAUGCAUACAUGAGGCAAAGUUGUAUGCUUAUUCCUCAAUCCUGACAGAAAUCUGAAGGAUGCAGUAUCCCAGGCAAUGUUCCUGUCUCUUCUUCAAGAAUGAAGGACAAGGGAAGAUGGUGCUUCACAAAUAUUGCUGGAGCAACCAAUAGGCAGCAAGUGUACAAAGCAGGGGUUGUUGUUGUUUAGUCAUUUAGUCCUGUCCGACUCUUCGUGACCCCAUGGACCAGAGCACGCCAGGCACUCCUGUCUUCCACUCCCUCCCGCAGUUUGGUCAAACUCAUGCUGGUAGCUUCGAGAACACUGGCCAACCAUCUCGUCCUCUGUCGUCCCUUCUCCUUGUGCCCUCCAUCUUUCCAACAUCAGGGUCUUUUCCAGGGAGUCUUCUCUUCUCAUGAGGUGGCCAAAGUAUUGGAGCCUCAGCUUCAGGAUCUGUCCUUCCAGUGAGCACUCAGGGCUGACUUCCUUAAGAAUGGAUAGGUUUGAUCUUCUUGCAGUCCAUGGGACUCUCAAGAGUCUCCUCCAGCACCAUAUUUCAAAAGCAUCAAUUCUUCGGCGAUCAGCCUUCUUUAUGGUCCAGCUCUCACUUCCAUACAUCACUACUGGGAAAACCAUAGCUUUAACUAUACGAACCUUUGUUGGCAAGGUGAUGGCUCCAUGAUCACUGCAGAUGGUGACUGCAGUCACGAAAUUAAAAGACGCCUGCUUCUUGAGAGAAAAGCAAUGACAAACCUAGACAGCAUCUUAAAAAGUUAGAGACAAAGCAGGAGAAAUGAAUUUAUAUCAAGAUAUAGCAAGAAUUAGAGACACAUGCAAACUCCUGGGAGUCUUUGCAGGGUCUCCAUUGUAGCGAGAAAUGCAGCCAGUAAGCUGGGAGACUCCGGAGAGAGGCGAGGCAAUCAAAUCUCAGCUGCUGAUGCCAUGGAGAAUCAUAGCCAGAGUCAAAUAGUGCCAAGGUCAUACCCAGCGCCCAGAGAGCCUGUCCAAACAGAGCAGGAAGUAAGGGCAGGGAGCUGGGAGUGGCACAAGGCUGCAGGUAGUUAGAAAGGAAGUACAGGCUGAGAAGUUUCAGCCCAAAGCAAGGCCAAGUAGACUGUUGCUGAAACCAAAGCCAGAAGAGUCACCAGUGGUCAAGCAGAAAUGCCAUGGGUGGGGAUAAUUGGAAGGGACAACAAGCUCUCCACCAGUGAGCCCCCUCCUGGGAAUGAGGAUGCCAGUUUGAGACCCUUUAGUGCUGAUAAAUUUCUGAAAUGAGGGACAUCUAUUAUGCUUUAAGGAAGCAUGAAGUGUAGAAGCAGAAGAUGUCUAUUGUUUUCUAAAUGGCUGUCCUAAACUAAGCAAUGCCCCUUUAUUUUAUUUUAAGCAUUCCCUUAAAAGAGCCAACUGGCAUCAACUUUACUCUGAUCAAUAGGGACUAGACAGUCCAAUUUCAACAGCUAGAGCAAAAAGAUUCCACACCCUUUUUAGGAAGUGCUUAAUAAUAAUAAUAAUAAUAAUAAUAAUUUAUUAUUUAUACCCCGCCCAUCUGGCUGGGUUUCCCCAGCCACUCUGGGUGGCUUCCAACAAAGUAUUAAAAUACAGUAGUCUGUUAAACAUUAAAAACUUCCCUAAACAGGGCUGCCUUCAGAUGUCUUCUAAAAGUCUGGUACAGUGGUGCCCCGCAAGACGAAUGCCUCGCAAGACGAAAAACUCGCUAGACGAAAGGGUUUUUCGUUUUUUGAGCUGCCUCGCAAGACGAUUUUCCCUAUGGGCUUGCUUCGCAAGACGGAAACAUCUUGCAAGUUUGUUUCCUUUUUCUUAACACCGUUAAUACAGUUGCGACUUGACUUCGAGGAGCAACUCAUAGAACGCGGUGUGGUAGCCUUUUUUGAGGUUUUUAAAGACUUUGGUGAUUUUUGAAGCUUUUCCAAAACUUUCCCGACACCGUGCUUCGCAAGACGAAAAAAAUCGCAAGACGACAAAACUCGCGGAACGAAUUAAUUUCGUCUUGCAAGGCACCACUGUAGUUGUUCUUCUCUUUGACAUCUGGUGGGAGGGCGUUCCACACAUAGCUGUCAAGUGUCCCUUAUUUGAAGGGACAGUCCCUUAUUCCAGCGCCAUGUCCCACUGCUGUCCCUUAUUGAUAGAUGUCCCUUAAAUGAUGUCCCUUAAAUUUCAAAGGAAGCAGCUCCUCUUCCUCCCUUCCUGCCAGCCAGGGAGGCUCCAACUGUGUUGCUUGGCUAUGUUGCUCACCCAAUAAGAAGUCUAAGAACGACUGGGGGGUGGAGCUUGCAUGCCUUGUGUGUGGCUAGUUAAUGCAAGUUGAGGGGGUUUUUGAAUGCUGGACGCCAUUUUGUUGCACGUGCUGCUGCAAACUUUGCAGUGCAAAGCCAGGCCGGGGAGCCAUCUUAAGUUGAGGCUGCAUGGGCCUUGUGGUGCAUGUGAUUCAGAUUCUAUUCAGUUGAACCUCUGGUUACAAAGUUGGUUGGACAGUGUUCUCGAAGCUACCAGCAUGAGUUUGACCAGACUGCAGGAGGACAGGAAGACUGGAGUGCCUGGAACAGGUGAGGCUGCAGGUCCCUUAUUUUGGCUGCUGGUCCCUUAUUUUCAAAUCUGUAAGUUGACAGCUAUGGUUCCACAUGGCAGGUCCUCUGCCUGGUUUCCUGUAACUUGGCUUCUUGCAGUGAGGGAACCGCCAAAAGGCCCUCGGCUGAACGAUUGGGGUGGAGACGCUCCUUCAGGUAUACUGGACCGAGGCCAUUUAGCUUGGAUUGCAACAUUUAAAUCUUAUCACAUCAAGUGAUUCUUGUGAGAUUGAUGAUUUUUUAAAAAGUUGAUAACCUUGGCUUUUCUUUUUCUUUUUCUUUUUAUAAAGUUUGAUGCUUCUCCAUUGUCUUUUGAGAUAGACGGAUGCCAAACAAUGCUUCCAGUUGCAGAGUAACACUGAGUGGAGUAUUUCCUGGAAAGUCUGGAACCAGAAAUAUGUGUUAAUCUUGAAAUCAUCAUACCAUUUCAGCUCUCCUUGCUUCUUUCUUUUUUAAGUGCUAGCCAAUGGCCUAAAAGCUAGGGAGUAGAAAUUAUUGAAGUUAUUAUUGCUUUUAUUAUGUAUCCUCUAUAAAGAUAGGUACACUUGUCUCUUUCCUGCUUUUAAACAAUUGUGUGCACAACUAUACUUCUUCAGAGAACAACAACACUAUCAUGUCUCUCUAUAAAAUGCAACUGGGA
rnacentral:lncRNA from 1 species